AUUUGGCAUCUGUGGAAUAAUCC
rnacentral:miRNA from 1 species